rnacentral:rRNA from 1 species
CAGUAGCCGCGGGAAUACGUAGGUGGCAAGCGUUGUCCGGAAUUAUUGGGCGUAAAGGGCUCGCAGGCGGUUUCUUAAGUCUGAUGUGAAAGCCCCCGGCUCAACCGGGGAGGGUCAUUGGAAACUGGGAAACUUGAGUGCAGAAGAGGAGAGUGGAAUUCCACGUGUAGCGGUGAAAUGCGUAGAGAUGUGGAGGAGCACCAGUGGCGAAGGCGACUCUCUGGUCUGCAACUGACGCUGAGGAGCGAAAGCGUGGGGAGCGAACAGGAUUAGAUACCCGCGUAGUCCCUGUCUCUUAUAC